rnacentral:lncRNA from 1 species
GAGAGGGAGGGGGGGGUUUGGGGGGGGGAGGGUGUAGGGGGUGGGGGAGGGGAGGAAGGGAGGGUACACAGGAGAGGUAUAGAGAAAAAGAAACGCAAAAGAACAGAAACACAGAAGAAAAGAAAUACAGAGAAAAAGAGACAAAGGGGCCCGGCCGGCAGCAACCUCCCGCUCUGAGCGCCGAGCAGCAAAUGGCUCUGCCCGGGCCUCCCCGCGGGUUAAAUCCCCCCGGCCCCGCCCCGCGCAGGCGCGCUGGGGCCCCGCGCACCUGUGCGCGCACCUGUGCUGGCCCCGCCCCAGCCCCGCCCCCCGCCCGUAAAUGGCGGCGGAUCCGCGCCCGCCUCACGUUCUGCGGGGGAUGCUCGGCCCGGGCUGCAGCGGGACCGGCGCUCGGAGCGCCGUGCCGAGAUCGGAUCGGCGCUGCUCCCGGCGUUGCGCGGCGUCCGACGGGCUCAGGCACGCAGGGAUGCUUCAGCCCGGACAGACGCCACCGACAGCCCCGAGGGACCCCAGGGAACGGCUGGCAUCACCUGGGAAUGGAGGCACGGCCGUUUGCAGAGCGGCUCUGACAGCAAUCCCUGUUUCUGACCUCCCCGAGCUCCCACACAGCUGCCAGAUACUAAAUGCCAAGCCAUAGCCUCAGAGAUGCCUUAAAAUCAGAGGUUCGAGUGGGAUGAUAUCUGGAGAUUUUCAGGGAGCCAGCUGGAGGUGCAGAAGUGAUGGAAAACUCUCACAGGUGGGUCCCACUGGAGGUGUGCUGCAGGCAGGGAUGUGCAUCCCUUUCCUGAGGGAAAAGGCCAUGCAGAGGCCGGUGCUGAGGCUCUGAAAGGAGCGGAGCUUCUGCAGGAGAGAUGUUCUGCCUCAGCACAGGCCGGGAGCGCACCCAGCCACCGCCUUGUCCUGCUUUAAAACAUCAGCUGGAGCCUGAGCUCUGGGGGGUGAAAUCAGCUGAAUUCCAAGGAACUCUGUCAAGUGACCCCAGAGACAUCCCUGGGGCGGGGGGAUGAGGGUUUUAAAUAGCAAGUUCUAUAGAAUAGAGACCUGUCUUUGUCCUGUUCCCACUGAGCUUCCCUGGAACCUCUGCUGGUUCCUGACACAGCUGGUGCUAAAGUGGCAGCUCUGCAUGGGAACUUCCAGUCUCCACGAGGCACUGUCAGGUUAUUCCAGCAGGAAUUCAGCAGGGAAUCUGGGGCUGUGGGUAUAAUUCAUCUGAACUAGCAAAGCUGAUACUGAACCCCAAAUCCAGGCACCACGCAGAGAACAAUCUUUGUGCAAAAUGCCCUGGGUGGGGAAGUUUCAGCAGCCAAACAUAUGGAAUGGUCUAAAUCCCAGCAACCAGCAUCCCCCAGAGGGACAAUCUAAGUGCCAGGGUGGGAGCUCGUGUCCUUCCCCUGCUGCUGGUGGGACAAAUUCCCUUGGCACAGCUGGUGGUAUGGGAUCUGAGAGCAGGAGGGGCAGGAGCAGGGAUGGGAGAUGAGGCUGCUGGAAUGUCACCUGGAGUAGCUGAACACAUUCUGUCCCUUCAGGAGCCAAAGCAGAUCCCUCCUGGCCGGGCUGGAUGGGAGAUGAGGCUGCUGGAAUGUCACCUGGAGUAGCUGAACACGUUCUGUCCCUUCAGGAGCCAAAGCAGAUCCCUCCUGGCUGGGCCGGAUGGGAGAUGAGGCUGCUGGAAUGUCACCUGGAGCAGCUGAACACGUUCUGUCCCUGCAGCAGCCAGGAGCCAAAGCAGAUCCCUCCUGGCUGGGCUGGAUGGGAGAUGAGGCCGCUGGAAUGUCACCUGGAUCAGCUGAACACGUUCUGUGCCUGCAGCAGCCAGGAGCCAAAGCAGAUCCCUCCUGGCCGGGCUGGAGGGCACCUGCUGCAUCUGCUCUGGGGGAAAACUCCCUGCCCCUGCCAGGAGCGCUGACUCUGCUUUUCCUCCAGCUCCUGAGCAGUGUCAGGGUCACCGGGAGGGGGUUCAAACCCAAAAAGUCCCCACAGCCCCCAGAGUGAAUGAUCCCAGCAGAGAAACGCAGCAUUGAAAUAAAAAAACUAAGAGCUCUGUCAAAAAGGCUGUGACAACAGUGCAAUGGGAUUCCCAGGAACCUUCUGGUUUGCUCUCAGAAUGCUCUUGGUUCUCUUUCAUGUAUUUUUAGUCCCUCAACGGGCAGCUUGUAGAAUUUAUUCUGGGACUUAGAGGUUGAGCAGGGUGGGCUCUGGAUUGACCUUUGCCUCUGGUGCCACUUUGUGCAAACACAACUUGGCCAGGCUGGGUGAACUCAUGGCCUCAGCUUUCCCCUCCAAAAUGUCCCUCACUUAUUUCCCUGCGGGUGAGCUGGGAUUUGGCCCCAGACUGUCACUCCUCACCUCCCCGUGCCCCCACAGUGUCCGUUCUGUUCCCCACAGAGCCCUGGGGACACCAGGGGGUCCCUUUGCCUUCUCCCGCCCCUUUCCAGCUCCUCUGGCUCCUCUGCCCUUGUCCCACACAGCACAGGGACACAAAAGGGGAAAGGCUCCAGAAAACAUUUCUGCAAUUAACCAGCAAUUAUUUCAAUUCCCCAGUGAGAAGAACAUGAACUCACAGCCACCGAGGCCUGACGGGUUCCUGCAGUGAGAGUUCAGCGCUUGUCUGCAGAGGUGAGUGCAGCAUCUGAAAGGAAAAAAACACAGGGGAAAAAUGUGAUUUAUUUUGCUUCAAAGUUAUUUCAUGUUCUUAAAGCCCAACCAACUUCUGCUCUUGAUUUUGGUCGGGUGAAACAGGAGCGGUGGGCAGGGGUCGUGCCAUUGAUGCGCAUGUGCCUGAUGCUUUCUGGGGCAGAAAAAGUAGAUUAAGCUCACCUUAUGUCAAGCAGUUAUUAAAAAGGAUUUAUAGCUCUUUAAACAUAGCACCCUUUAAUUACCAUAAUGUUUCUUCCAUGCUUUUAACUAAUUCUCAGUGUAUUUUAUAAAACUUAAAAUAACACCUCCUCCCCAUAAAACAGACUCAUCAAGCAUUAGACAAAAAGCCCUACUGCCAGUCUCAUGCUUGCACAUCUAACAGGAGACCCUCCCCAUAACCAAACAAAAAAUCAAAAUAAUGUGCCAAAAGUAGUCCUUACUAACAUUAAAAAUACAACUCAACCGUAUCAAAAAAAAACCCCAAAUUUAUUUCCUACAAACACCAAAUAAUCUUCAAAUUCUAAAUUAAAAACUCUUAAAAAAACAAGAACCAUCAAAACAUACUUCAAAUAUAGAAAAGCUUAAACGUAUAAAUAAAUAUUUGUCAAAGCCCACAAAAAAUAUAAAAGAAUCUAAUCAAUAUCCUGCAUUUAAAAAACCCACUAUACAAAUUAGUACCAUUUGCAAUGUAACAUAAAUAAAAAAAAUUUACUAAGAAACAUAUUUCCCAAUAAAUAAAACCACCCUGUAAAGAUAUAAGUAAUAAUCACAACUCAACAAUUUAAAAUUUCUCCAAAACAAAAAU